UCGCACCUACCGAUUGAAUGGUCCGGUGAGGACUCGGGAUUGUGGUUUGGCUCCUUCAUUGGGGCCUGACUGUGAGAACUUGUCCGAACCUUAUCAUUUAGAGGAAGGUG
rnacentral:rRNA from 1 species